AAGUCGAGCGCACUCUUCGGAGUGAGCGGCGGACGGGUUAGUAACGCGUGGGAACGUGCCCUUCUCUAAGGAAUAGCCACUGGAAACGGUGAGUAAUACCUUAUACGCCCUUCGGGGGAAAGAUUUAUCGGAGAAGGAUCGGCCCGCGUUAGAUUAGAUAGUUGGUGGGGUAACGGCCUACCAAGUCUACGAUCUAUAGCUGGUUUUAGAGGAUGAUCAGCAACACUGGGACUGAGACACGGCCCAGACUCCUACGGGAGGCAGCAGUGGGGAAUCUUAGACAAUGGGCGCAAGCCUGAUCUAGCCAUGCCGCGUGUGUGAUGAAGGCCUUAGGGUCGUAAAGCACUUUCGCCAGAGAUGAUAAUGACAGUAUCUGGUAAAGAAACCCCGGCUAACUCCGUGCCAGCAGCCGCGGUAAUACGGAGGGGGUUAGCGUUGUUCGGAAUUACUGGGCGUAAAGCGUACGUAGGCGGAUCAGAAAGUAGGGGGUGAAAUCCCGAGGCUCAACCUCGGAACUGCCUCCUAAACUCCUGGUCUUGAGUUCGAGAGAGGUGAGUGGAAUUCCAAGUGUAGAGGUGAAAUUCGUAGAUAUUUGGAGGAACACCAGUGGCGAAGGCGGCU
rnacentral:rRNA from 1 species